GCCUGCGGGGCUCAGUCGGUUAAGCGUCCGACUUCGGCUCAGGUCACGAUCUCGCGGUUCGCGGGUUCGAGCCCCGUCUCGGGCU
rnacentral:tRNA from 1 species